rnacentral:lncRNA from 1 species
CUAUUUUUCCGCGCUUCCCCUGUCCGUUUUCUGCCUUCUUUCUUCUUCGUAGUGGUUUCUUUUAAUGUCUUCUAUUUAUGGGACGCUGUAAGUAUUUUCACCUUCCGUCUGGCCUCGAUCCCAGGACCUCUGCCUCCAUAGGAGACUCCCAUACGCACUCUGCUAACUUGUCAAUCUACCAGUAACCGUUCGGAGGUUGUAUUUGUUUCGUCGAAGUGGACGCGCAUGCGCGGUGUUUCUCUUGGGUUUGGUCGGUCACUGCGCGUGCGCAAAAACUUUGUUCGAGUGCCUGACGUAGUCGGUCUCGACGUUGCAGCCGUGCGCGAGCGCGCCGCGCUCUUGCCUGGUCGCGCCGUCGUUCGCCGCCCGCGCGGGCGCUCCCUGUGUAAUGUCUAUAGGAUCGCUUGCCUUCCUAGCGAGCCUAUCUUGGCCGCGUUGCUUCCGGCCCGUUCCUUUGCGCCGUGUUUUCGCCCGCUCGCGCGGGUUGCCGGCUCGCUU